AACUUUCAACAACGGAUCUCUUGGCUCUCGCAUCGAUGAAGAACGCAGCGAAAUGCGAUAAGUAAUGUGAAUUGCAGAAUUCAGUGAAUCAUCGAAUCUUUGAACGCACCUUGCGCUCGCCGGUAUUCCGGCGAGCAUGCCUGUUUGAGUCUCA
rnacentral:rRNA from 1 species